UACGGAGGGGGCUAGCGUUGUUCGGAAUUACUGGGCGUAAAGCGCACGUAGGCGGACCAGCAAGUUAGGGGUGAAAUCCCGGGGCUCAACCCCGGAACUGCCCUUAAAACUGUUGAUCUGGAGUUCGAGAGAGGUGAGUGGAAUUCCGAGUGUAGAGGUGAAAUUCGUAGAUAUUCGGAGGAACACCAGUGGCGAAGGCGGCUCACUGGCUCGAUACUGACGCUGAGGUGCGAAAGCGUGGGGAGCAAACAGG
rnacentral:rRNA from 1 species